rnacentral:rRNA from 1 species
CCAAUAGCGUAUAUUAAAGUUGUUGCAGUUAAAAAGCUCGUAGUUGAAUUUUAGGCCUGGCCGGGCGGUCCGUCUUUGGCGAGUACUGUCUGCUGUCGGGUCUUCCUUCUGGUGAACCAGCAUGUCCUUUGUUGGGUGGGUUGGGGAGCCAGGACCAUUACCUUGAAAAAAUUAGCGUGUUUAAAGCGGGCUAUUGCUUGAAUAGAUUAGCAUGGAAUAAUAGAAAAGGACGUUGUGGUUCUAUUUUGUUGGUUUCUAGGACCACCGUAAUGAUUAAUAGGGAUAGUUGGGGGCAUUAGUAUUCAAUUGUCAGAGGUGAAAUUCUUGGAUUUAUUGAAGACUAACUACUGCGAAAGCAUUUGCCAAGGAUGUUUUCAUUAAUCAAGAACGAAAGUUAGGGGAUCGAAGACGAUCAGAUACCGUCGUAGUCUUAACCAUAAACUAUGCCGACUAGGAAUCGGGCGACGUUAUUUUAAUGACUCGCUCGGCGCCUUAUG